rnacentral:tRNA from 1 species
GCACCCAUAGCUCAGUGGAUAGAGCACUAGUCUUCGGAACUAGGUUGUCGGGGGUUCGAAUCCCUCUGGGUGCGC